UUGUCAAAUCCUAGAAUCCAUUGCCAUGAUAGUGCUGAGAUUCAUGGGGUGCAUGUACUCAUUAGACCCUGUCAUUAUUUUGUCAGGUCUGGAAUCCAUUGCCA